GGCCGUCUAAAGAAUAGCAGAGAAUUCCAAACAGUAGCUUUACAAAAUAGGGUUAGCCUUCUCAGUCAGCAUACUAAUUUAUUUAUU